GUUAAUUUUCUUAAAUUUUAGUUUGUGAAUUAACUCUUUGUAUGCUUACUAAGAUUACCCCUUUCUCCACAACAAAUCAGGGUAUAGCUCUCCCCUGUGCUAAUUAAAUAUUUACUAAGUUUCAAGCAAAACUUAAUUCUAAAUUUUAAAGACUUUACAUACUGCCGCAAGAGUAUAAAAUAACAUCGAAAGAAAAUCUCAAUGUCAGGCUGUUACAGCAACGAGAGGGUAUCAAAACUACAAGCCAACGAUUGGUAAUGUUAAGCUGAACGAAUGCUGGCAGCAUGUAGUCCAUAUACUAUCUUUACAGUUACCCGCCGGGUGUCUACUGAUAUUUGUGGUAUCUUCGGGAGCUACCACUAUUGGCAGUUGUUGGCCUGGCGGUUGUUGACUCUCGAUAGUCGACUUCGGGAUGCUUGUUGUUUAGAUUGAUUUUGUCGCGUUAACUAGUAGUUACGGUUGUUUUUGGUUUUGUUGUUAUCACUUAUAGUAUACUGAUUGCCGAACCAGAAAGCAAAGUACCAAAUGCGUACCUGCGAUAUCAUGUUCAUAUACAAGCCUACGCACCGAUAACCAAAUAUACAGAUAUACUUAUAAGAAAUAUAUAGUUUUUCAUUGAUUUUCUAGUAUAUGCCUGCCCAUAACUAGGUGCGUUUAUGCAUUUAUUAAUUUAACUGCCUUCUAAUAUGUUGCAAAGAGAAUGUGCGAGUGCGGACUUAACAAAGCACGUAAUUGUGUGUACUCUUGUUAUCCUAAAUAUUUACCAUCAAAAUCAUUGUUGCAGCCAAGUAAUGUAGAAAGAAUGGAAAACUGUAAUUUAUUUGAGGGAAAAACUACAAUAUCUUCUUAAAGAACUGAAUUCACUAAUACUGUUAAUAAAAUAUACAAUCCCACUAUUAAGAAGAAAUCUUUCCGUAAACUCCUUAAGCAAAUACAUUUAAAAGGUUAUUCUUAAUAUCUAGUAAAUUAGUGACAGUACGUCUCAAGUCCGAAACGUGUUUUUGAGCCUAUCUACUGUUGAAUAUCUAUGGAAUUCUUAUGGUAAAGGAUACAACUCGACAAAGACCAAACAAUGGGAAAGCCUAUGUAUAUGUGCAUUAAAAUAUACAUAAGAAGAAUUCUUGAUAUACCCAGCAUAUCUCAUUUUAUAACAGUUUCCAUGCCAACACCUAAAAAUUAAAAAUUAUGGUCACCAUUAAUUAAAGGACAUGGAACAUUUUGAUAAAUCUCUGCUUGUCUUAUGACAUCAUUCAUCACAAGGGUGGCUUUGUCGCCUUGAACUGUGAAAGAAACAGGAAUAUACAAGUGUGAUCAGCCACCUCCAAAACUAAAUAUUCAAUAGCAAUUCCUUCUUAAAUCUCCAAAACUGACACACUCAUUUUUACUAUUAUGAACAGCUUCAAGGUUUCGAGAUUAAUUCAAUUCGCAAAUCUGAAACGACAAUAAACGUUUCAAUAUUAACUGCGUCUUUUGUAUUUAACACUUUAUAAUUCAAUAUCGUAGUGCAUCUGGAAAAAUUAUCUAAUGAUUUUUACUCAAAAUUGUUAAGUUUCCCACUUCGUGAGCCUUCAGUGUACUGACUUUUAUGUUGAAAAAACGAAUACGAGUUUUAUUUAAUAUUUUUAGGUCGAAAGCGCAAAAUAGGUUUAUCAGAUGUUUUGUUAAAAUGAAUAGGAAAGAAUAUGAUCAAUUGUAUGGAACCGCAAACUAUGUGAUUCCUGAAAUGCACACACCACGAAAUACUGAACUUUUGAAAACAAGUGGCUAUUUUUGAUAGAGCAGGCGAAAGUCGUGUCCAGCUGUCAUGUUAUAUUCAUUCAGUAUUGUUUGGCAUUUCAUUACGGAAAUACUUACGUCAGAACAACGUUUACAAAUCCUCCAAUCUUAUUUCGAACAUUCCUGUUUUGUAAAGAAUGUGCUUCGCGCACUUCGCUCAACUUAUGGUCAUGUUAUAUCACACCGUUAGACUUUUAGAGACUUCUCGCUUCGAUUCAGGCCUUGGAGUAAAACAUCACUUGUGUAAUCAACAUUUUGACUUAACGGAUGGACCAUCUUAGACGUAGCCGUGGCCAAUAUUUGAAAAAGAUAAUCUAAAAAUAAAUGAGAAAGUAAUAAAAAUCCCUCAUUAAAUUUGAACUUUCUGUAUUUUUUCCUCGAAAGGAAUGACCUUUUAUAUUUUCGGUAUAUUUUUGCAUGUUUCGACUUACUUCUAGGUACAUGCAUCAUCAAGUUACUUGCAUUUUAUUUCGGUGGUUGUUUUAUUUUCAUUUCGAUUUCUCAAAGUGAUUAUCGCUUUUUUAUAACGAAUUUCAACCAUCAUAUAUGUCUACAUAGUGAUGAAUUACUACAUUCGGAAACGUGCAACGAAUUUAGGUCAUGCGAUUCUCUUUUUGUUCGCUCGCACCGAACCUUAAAUGGGAAAUUGAUGGAUCAACAACAAGCUCAAGCUUCUGUCAGCUAAUGGUCGGUAGUUGUAUGCCCAUUUCACACACAUAUGCAACCUUUAAGUCAACAAAUAAUGCGAAAAUGGAAAAAUUGGACAACAGCCCCAGGUGACUUUAUUGCGCAUAUAUCAGCCAAUAUGUGGGCUAUCUUUUUAAAAUUUAGAGAGAUUAAAAUGAGGGGAAAUCUGAUUCUAGAUCACAUAUAACUAAGAAGGCUAGAAGAUAUUUCCCUAUAUUAGAUCCUGACGAGUUGUAAAAGUAUGAAAUGUUCGGCUAUACCUGAACUUAGCUCUUCCGUACUUGUUUUUGAUUAUUUGUUGACUCAAAGUGUUUGUACUUGCAAGUGUGUGCAUUCAAAUCUACCAUAAGCCAUCGAAAAUUAGCUUACAGAUGCUAGAGCCGGUAGUCCAUCCAUCAACUUGACAUUUUACAGAUUAGGGCGAGUGACAAAACUGGACUCGGCUCUACGCAACAAAUAAAGCAGAAACAAAUAAAAUUUAAAAGAGUGGACAAACUAAUGCAAUAGCCCAUAUUAAACAUACCACUUCUCCGCCUGAAAGCAACUAUUUAUAUAAAUAAGGUGGUGGAACUCGAUUGGCGAACUUUCGAAUAUCAUGAUUUAUCUUCAAGUGGAGACAUAUGAUGGCCGCAAGAUGUGGAGAAGGGGCAUAUGCGCUGAUGUUAGCUUUGAGACAGCGCAAUAGAAGCGAAAAGGCGGAAUAUAGUACAGUUGCAACUUCGAUCGCUUUAUGCCAUAUCGUUCGACUUCUCGCUACAACGUGUUACUAAUGCACUUAUCAACGAGCUCAACUUUACGGCCCGGUGCCCAAUUAGUACAGCUCUACAACAACAACACCAUAUUAUGAAUCACACUGCUCUUGCAGCAACAUGACCACUGCCAGCAUCUUGCCAACCACCGGGACAGCGCCCGUUUCACAUUUCAAUAACGCUGAAAUGCAGAGUGACAAGCAGAUGUCACAGUACCAUCAUCACUUCCGCUGUUCUAAAUAGAGCACAUAGAGCUUUCUUAUUCGAACUGGUACUCGUUUUGGAUCUCAAGGGCUCUUGCGAUCAAUUCGAAGUUCUGUUAUUGGCAUAAAUCAAACCUAAUGAAAGGUGCAUCAGAAGAACGACGAGGAGUUCACGGCAAUGUACACCCGAAAUUUACUAAAACUGGGUGCUGACGAGCAUGCGGCCGUUGUGGAAAAGCUCAUCAGAGAAAGUAUUAGACUAACGUAUUUACUUCACUAUAAAUUAAUUAUUUUUUAUUUUAAUAAAAAAUAUGUAAAUAAAACUUUGUGCUAAAUUAGGUUUUAAACAAAUUGAUCUGUCGAAAGAAACAUGUAAGUUAAAGCAUUUAUUUUUAGGAACUGCUACCGCUUUCCGUUCUAAUCUACUUAAAUAAAAAUAAUCAAAAAAAUGGAACUAUAAACAAAAAUUGGCUUGUUUUUGAAUGAAUCAAACGCUACUCGUAAGUGAGCAUAUGGUUUAAGUGGAGUACGUUUCGCAGAAACGCAGUACUUCGAAAUACUUUAAGGUAUCUCUAGAUAUUUGCUAAAUCGAAUUUGUUUGGUUUUGGCCAAUAUUUAGUCAUAAGGUGGCAAACUUUAAACAAACUAUUAGUGCAAAAUUAUAUUCCGUUACAUCAAUUGCUCGCUGGUUUAUAUACUGGAAAGUGAAAGAAUUAACAGGAAUUUAAUUUUGUGUUAUAAAGGAAGUAGACGUGAGUUUGCUCCUAUUUCGCACAUUUUCACACUGUAAGUAGAGAAUAUGAGAAGAGCACUACUUAACUUAGUAGGUAAAAUUGGCAAAAAUCAUUGUCCAAUUUUCAUUCUAGCUCCCAUAAAGCAUUUUCAUACCAUUUUGGAGGUAAAAUUUAACGUCUCUGGCGUAAUUACUUAUUAAUUUAAUGCGCUUUAGUAGUUUUGAACAGUACCGGAAGUGAGCGGGUUUUUUUUCCCAAAUUCAGCCAUUUUCGCACUGUUCAAAAUUGAACAUAUUCGUUGCUACCAAAGGACGGACGGACGGAC